GUGGGCCAGCUCCGGGGCUCCACUGCCAACAGUGGCAGUGGUCCAAGAACCGUUGGGCGAAGGGUGCUUCGGCCGUCUGGGAAGGCUGUUUGGGGCAGUUGCAUGGACAUGGAAACCGGCUGAGGGAUUCCUGAGUGUCGGGAGGGGAAUGGGGGCAGUGCCACGCCGGGCCUCCAGGGGAGAUGGGACUACCAGGAUCUCCCAGACCCACAGACAGGGUUUGCUGCCGCAGCGUGUGCGUGUACACCGGAACUCAGAAGGGAGGUGGGACUGCCAUGAUCUCCUGGAUGCACAGAAGAGAGGGGCUUCGUCAGGAGUGUAGGUGACACUGGACCACUGGAACCAGGCGAAUGACCAGGCCCUGCAGCUGAUCAAGGGCCUAAAGGCGCACAGGGAGCCAAAGGGGUCAAAGGAGAAGAGGGACCCGCAGGACAACAGGGUAUCCAAGGAGAGCCAGAGAAGAGGGGAAACUGUGGAUUUCCAGGCGCUCGAGGACCCAGUGGACAAAAGAUGUUCUACACUGGAGCUGAAAUGAACCCUGUCAUAUCCUUCGCUCCUGCUACGUUCAAGAGGAACUCCAUGAACCACUGGGUAAGAAAAAUAUAUACAAAUUAUGCAUAAAAAAAACAUGCUCAUAGUCUCGCAUUGUUUGUAAACUACUUUCAAUUCAGAUAUAAUAGAUGUAAUAGUGUUACAUUGUUUAAGCCUUUUACAGAAUGCGCAAUGCACUGCAUGUAUUUCUCAGCUGCUCACAUGUAACUAUAAUAUGGUUUCUGUUCUUCCCUCCUCGUGCCUGCGCCCGUCGGUCCGUGUCUCCGUCCAGCCGGCUGUGCGUGCAUCCGUCUCUGCGUCCGUGCCUACGUCUGGCCGGCAGUGCGUCCGUCCGUGCGUCAGUCUGUCUGUGCGUCCG